AUGCAGGAAGAUAUGCUUGAACAACUGCAAUUGCAAAGGUUUCUCAUACUGGCAGGGAAGUGGAAGUGCUAUCCAAAGUCAUCCCUUGUUGGUGGUGUAACCAGCCCGGGUUUGGGUCGUUCUAUCUAUCUCAAGCUUCCCAAGACAUUACAGGUCUCAGAGUCCUCAAUUCCUCACUCACAACCUUUUGGUCAUAGAUAUGCUCCUAACUGUAGUGCAAAGAACAAAAUUUUCACUACAGAUUUUCUGGAUCAACCUAAGAGCAGUCAGAGUGGAUCACACCCACAGUACUUGUACUUGUAUGUAUUCUUGUCAGCGAUAUUUUGUGUAGAGGUAAUAUUUGUGGCAUUCGGAUGCUGGUUUGUGCUGAGAAAGGAGGGCAAGCAGUUAACAGGAGUAUGGCCAGCUGAGGUUGGCUAUGAAAUGAUAACUAACCAUUUCCGCAGAUACACUUACAAGGAGUUGCAGAGGGCAACUCGAAAGUUCAAGGACCAGAUUGGAUGCGGGGCAUCUGGUAUUGUAUACAAGGGGGUCUUGAAAGACAAGAGGGUAGUAGCGGUGAAAAGGUUGGCAGACAUAAACCAAGGCGAAGAAGAAUUCCAGCAUGAACUGAGUGUGAUUGGAAAGAUUUACCAUAUGAAUCUGGUGAGGGUUUGGGGGUUCUGUUCUGAUGGUCCACACAGGAUAUUGGUCUUAGAGUACGUUGAGAAUGCUUCGUUGGAUAAAACCCUGUUUAGUAGCAAGGCCCCACAGAUCUUACUCGAAUGGAACCAAAGAUUUAAGGUUGCCCUAGGGGUGGCAAAAGGAUUGGCCUAUCUUCAUCAUGAGUGCUUGGAAUGGGUUAUCCAUUGUGACCUGAAGCCUGAGAAUAUACUGUUGGAUGAAAACUUGGAGCCAAAGAUCACCGACUUUGGCCUUGCAAAACUUGUGAACAGAGGUGGAUCCAAUAAAAAUGUAUCGAGGGUCCGUGGAACUAGAGGUUACAUAGCUCCUGAGUGGGUUUCUGGCCAUCCAAUAACAGCAAAGGUAGAUGUCUACAGCUUCGGAGUGGUUCUCCUAGAACUACUCAAGGGGGCUCGUGUUUCAGACUGGGCAUCAAAUGCCGACGAGGAAGUGGAGACAGUCCUUGGAAGGGUUGUUAGGAUGCUUACAGAAAAUCUGAUGCUGGAGCUGGAGGGCAGCCAACAGUUAUGGGUGGCUGACUUCAUUGACUUGAGGUUGAACAGCCAGUUCGAUAACUUGCAAGCAAGAAUGAUGGUCAAGCUGGCUGUUUCAUGCGUGGAAGAAGAUGGUAGAAAAAGGCCCACCAUGGAAAAUGUUGUGCAGAUGCUUCUUUCGGUUGCUUGA
rnacentral:rRNA from 1 species